rnacentral:rRNA from 1 species
UGCGUAGGGACCGAGCGUUGUCCGGAAUCAUUGGGCGUAAAGAGCGUGUAGGCGGCCACUUAAGUCCUGCGUGAAAUCUUGCGGCUCAACCGCAAGCGGUCGUGGGAAACUGGGUGGCUAGAGUGCGGGAGAGGAGAGCGGAAUUCCUGGUGUAGCGGUGAAAUGCGCAGAUAUCAGGAGGAACACCGGUGGCGAAGGCGGAUCUCUGGGCCUUACCUGACGCUGAGGAGCGAAAGCAUGGGGAGCAAACAGG